rnacentral:lncRNA from 1 species
UCUCACACCCGGAGGGUAAGCGACCUUCCCGUCGGCACUCACGACGCCACAGAGGGCAGUGGCAGGCUUGGGCUGUGCGGUGAAGUCCAUCCUGGGGGACAACUUUUUGUUCACAGACCUCUACUGGCCUCUCCUCCUCAUGCGGGCGGAAGGUGCAUUGAGCGCCUGGGCCUCUGUCAGGUGGUUGCACUGCCAUCCCUUGUCGGGUUGCACACAAAGUGGCUCCGCGGGUCCCGCCGCUGCCAAAUUCUCGAGGGCCGCCGCUGCCAACUUCUCUCUGGCCGGGCCGGGGCCGCCGUCGCCUUCGCUGACUUACUUCCUGCUGAGCUGGGGCGGCCAUCUCUGCUGACUUCUCUCUGGCCGGCCCCGGGAGCGGCGCUAGGGCUGGCAAUGCUGAGGAGCAGCCACCGCAGGAGGAGAUGCAGGGGUUGCAGAAUUACCAGCAAUCCUCUUCCUGCCACCCAGGGCAGGCCUGUCCGCAGCAGAAGGUCAUGAGGCUGGUCGACCUGUGAAAAUGAGCUGAGCUGAGGUAAGAGAGAUAUACUGAGUUCAGUCCCCAGUUCUAAGUCCCGAGGCUCAGGUUUCUGAAGCUCAUCU